ensembl:snoRNA
CAGCAUGUUCCCAAGAUUUAUGGCUGGUGGUAGCCAUGGGAUCUCCAACUGCAUGCAAGAAUAACCUGGAGAGACUUUGACAGCUCAGGUCAACACAAUACCUGUAGCUGCCACUCAAUGUUCCUAUAUUU